GGGGCAUUUUGCAAAUCCCCGGGCCGGGGACAUGGGCAUCCGGCGGCGCGCGCUGCCGCCGGUGGCCUCCGCUAGCCCCGCCGCUAAGCCUCCCGCGCUCCGAAUGCUUAGCUUCCAAGCGCAUCAUUCCCAGCCGCAGUCCGGGAGCGGGAGGUCGGCCAAGGCACGGAUCGAGCUGCGCCGCCGUGGCCGUCGGCCGUCGCAUCGUUUCCUCUUCACCCGGAAGGCCGGCUCCGCUCGCCGCCGCCCCGCAAGAACAGGUCGUGCAUUCCACCUUCAGAGAACUUCUCUUGCUCAGGAUAAAGCCUCAGUUACAAACUUCCUACCAGUAUUUCUGCAUUUGGAACUUCGGAUACAUGGGAAAUUGGAUGUAAUAGUUGGGAAUCUCAGUUACCUAUGUAGUUUGUACCUAUACCAUAUCAGUGUAGCUACUUGUUUUGAUGUCGGACACAAUGUCCAACAGUUAGAAAAGCUAGCAAAUAUAUUAUCUGGUUGAAGAGCAUAUGGGAGUUGAGACAGUAGAAAAGGCAAAGGCUCAAGUAAGUCCGAAGGUCAAACUCUCAAACAACAUAUGCAUGGACUAUUAGACUGGACUGACUUCUGCAUCUAGAGCAGGAGGGUGUUGUUCUAAAUACAUUAUUUGCUCUCCUUGCACUCCUCACUCGGGAGACAUCUCAGGCCAUUCCACAUCCCACUUGGUCAUUCUCUCCACCCGCUGUGUGAUCAUCCAAAUGGAAGUACUCCUUUCUGCAGUAUUUGGUGAAGUGUUCACUAGAUACAUAAAUUUCUUCAUCAACAAAAGUUCCAAGCUGCAGGUGUUGGGCAUGGAGGACUGUCUCUGGAGGGUCCUGCUCCGAGCACAGGUCAUUGUUGACGAGGCAAUGGGAUGGCACAUCACAAAUCAAGCUAUGCUCCAGGAGCUGAACGUGCUGAGAGACGCCAUACACCGAGGCUGUUAUGUAUCAGACAACUUCUGAUACAUAUCUUAUGAUGAGGAGGACGCCAAAGAUCAGGUUGUGAUUGUGAGCCAUUCUUUGACUCUCUCCAAACUAAAUUCUUUGAAAGGUUUCUGUUCCUCCAAUAGAAAGACACUGCUUUUAGAACAACUGCAAUAGGCCCUUGAUAAUUUGAGCUCUAUGCUCCUUGAUAUGGAAGAGCUGGUUGUGUUCUUGACGAGCUAUCCUCGCCUAUACCCCCAACCUUAUAACAUGCAUAUAUAUAACAUGCAUAUACUGCAGGACAACAGCAUGUUUGGCCGCCAAAUGAAAACAUAGCUUGUCCUCAACUUUCUAUUGCACACAACUUCAUUGUCCUAAGGAAUUGGAGGUUCUGCCAAUUGUAGGUCCCGGUAAAGUUGGCAAGAGCACCCUUGUAGCUCAUGUUUGCAAGGAUGAAAGAGUCUGUGGUCAUUUCUCAGAAAUAUUAUUAUUGCGUGACCAUGAUUUAAUAGAUGAUGAGGCAGCUCCUUUCAAAGAAGGAUGUGCAAUUAUACAUCAAAGUCGUGUUUUCAACUCGAACAAAAAUGGAAGAUUGCUAGUUGUCACAACUCACAACAUUUGUGGAGCUACCUUGUCCUGGGUAGUGAAGCUGUAAUCUACCUUGUCAUUCGUAGUGAAAAUUGUAUCGGCUUCUUCUUGCUAGAUUUGGCGUCCAGAAAUGUUUAGAUUGAGAUAUUUGAGUUGAAUUUGUACUGAUUGAGCUUGCAUUCGUUCCAAGUACAUGUGCUGUGUUAGUGCUGGAGUUUGAUACAAUAUGAUGCAUGCUCUGUUUCCUGGCC